rnacentral:sRNA from 1 species
UGCGUCUGCGGCGGGCAAGGCAGGGGGCGCAGGGCAGGUUGUGCCUUAAAGUCUCGCAGACGGCUGCCCCUUGUACGGUCUUGUAAAUCCAAGAAUUUUCUUGGAUUUAAUAUCUUCU